UGGAUGAUGUGGUUUAAUUCGAUGCAACGCGAAAACCUUACCCACCUUUGACAUGGCAGGAAUCCCGAAGAGAUUUGGGAGUGCUCGAAAGAGAACCUGCACACAGGUGCUACAUGGCUGUCGUCAGCUCGUGUCGUGAGAUGUUGGGUUAAGUCCCGCAACGAGCGCAACCCUUGCCAUUAGUUGCUACGAAAGGGCACUCUAAUGGGACUGCCGGUGACAAACCGGAGGAAGGUGGGGAUGACGUCAAGUCCUCAUGGCCCUUAUAGGUGGGGCUACACACGUCAUACAAUGGCCGGUACAGAGGGUAGCCAACCCGCGAGGGGGAGCCAAUCCCACAAAGCCGGUCGUAGUCCGGAUCGCAGUCUGCAACUCGACUGCGUGAAGUCGGAAUCGCUAGUAAUCGCGGAUCAGCAUGUCGCGGUGAAUACGUUCCCGGGUCUU
rnacentral:rRNA from 1 species